AACGAACGCUGGCGGCAUGCCUAACACAUGCAAGUCGAACGAGACCUUCGUGUCUAGUGGCGCACGGGUGCGUAACGCGUGGGAACCUGCCCUUAGGUUCGGAAUAACUCCCCGAAAGGGGUGCUAAUAACGGAUAAUGUCUUCGGACCAAAGAUUUAUCGCGUUUGGAUGGGCGCGCGUUGGAUUAGCUAGUUGGUAGUGUAAAAGCCUACCAAGGCGGCGAUCCAUAGCUGGUCUGAGAGGAUGAUCAGCCACACUGGGACUGAGACACGGCCCAGACUCGUACGGGAGGCAGGAGUGGAGAAUAUUGGACGAUGGGCGAAAGCCUGAUCCAGCAAUGCCGCGUGAGUGAGGAAGGCCGUAGGGUUGUAAAGCUCUUUUACCCGGGAUGAUAAUGACAGUACCGGGAGAAUAAGCUCCGGCUAACUACGUG
rnacentral:rRNA from 1 species